UACGUAGGGCGCAAGCGUUAUCCGGAAUUAUUGGGCGUAAAGAGCUCGUAGGCGGCCUGUUGCGUCCGCUGUGAAAACCCGGGGCUUAACCCCGGGCUUGCAGUGGAUACGGGCAGGCUGGAGGCAGGCAGGGGAGAACGGAAUUCCCGGUGUAGCGGUGAAAUGCGUAGAGAUGUGGAGGAACACCGAUGGCGAAGGCAGCCCCCCGGGCUGAGAUUGACGCUCAGGCACGAAAGCGUGGGGAGCAAACAGG
rnacentral:rRNA from 1 species